rnacentral:rRNA from 1 species
GUAGGUGGCAAGCGUUAUCGGGAAUUAUUGGGCGUAAAGGGAGCGUAGGCGGUUUGAUAAGUCUGAGGUGAAAGUUCGGGGCUCAACUCCGAAUUGCCUUAGAAACUGUCAGACUAGAGUGCAGGAGAGGGCAAUGGAAUUCCAUGUGUAGCGGUAAAAUGCGCAGAUAUAUGGAGGAACACCAGUGGCGAAGGCGGUUGCCUGGCCUGUAACUGACGCUGAGGCUCGAAAGCGUGGGGAGCAAAUAGGAUUAGAUACCCUAGUAGUCCACGCUGUAUACGAUGAUUACUAAGUGUUGGAGCAAUUCAGUGCUGCAGUUAACGUAAUAAGUAAUCCGCCUGGGGAGUAUGCACGCAAGUGUG